rnacentral:lncRNA from 1 species
CAUUUUUAGGCUGCAUAACACACAAACACACACUCCUGCCAAAGUCCUGCCAAAAUCCGGCUAUAAAAGUUUCCAAUCGCCGUCAUCGUCACUGAUAAAACAGGAAGCGGGUCAAAGCCUAGGUGUCUAUGAACAGUACCCGCGACAGACGCCCCCAUCUCUUCCUGCACCCUUCAUCCCCAUCUUUUUACUCGGUGUCACUACACCACCGCCAUCUACAUCAUCAUCAUCAUCACCAUCACCAGAUAAGUCAGCAUGUACCACUGCUUUAAAUCAACACACAAACAUGCAUGGAACACCUCUCUCAUGUAUGAGGGGGGCAAUGACGGAGACAAUUUAUGGAUUAGGUCCAAUCUCCAGACUCCUCUCCCCAUCUGUUCCUCCACAUCCCCACCUUCUAACAACAGUUGCCUGGUGUGUGCUGACGACGGCGUCUAUGCUCUGUGUAAUAAUGUGAUGAAGACUAUGAAGGUGUUCCUGGAGGCUGGAGAGCACAGAGUUCCAAUCUCAGACAGCGUGUGCCCCAAACUUCGUUCUGACGGUGAGUUGUUUUCAGCUUCCUGUUGCAGUUUUCGUAUCGUUUGGCAUGAAUGAAACCUUUUCUUCCCACGCCCUUUUGGGUGCUGUAAAUACUGAAAUUAAAAUCAGCACAGUCAUUUCACAGUUAGAAAAUUCCCAAUCAUCUCUGCUGUAAAAGUCUCACUCUUGCGGUCUGUUCUCUUUGGUUCGGUGAAUCCUGGCUCAGGACUGGGUGCUGGUGCCAUCGUCGUGAUCGUCAUCACCGUCAUUUUGUUCAUCGCUUUCAUCACAGCCUGUUUCUGCAGGAAAAGACAGACAAGGUGCAAAUGUCAGCACCCACAUCUGCCACAGUUUGAUCAAAUGUCAGAGCUGCUUUGUCAUUUUCAUUCAUUCAUUCAUUCAUCUUUUCCUUCCAGAUCUGACAUGAGGGCUGAACUGCAGGCUGGAGAGCAGAUGCUGGGUAAUGGACCUAUAUGACUCAACCAACACACACAAACAGUCAUUCAGGUGGAGGCUGAGAGUACGUACACCAGAACUGCCUGUCUGAGGAGUGUUACCCAAAACCACUGACCAAAGUGUUGCCAAAUAUCCAAUUUUAAGAUAAUCAGAUGAAUUUAUUUAACAAUGACUCAAUCUAUUUUCAUUUCUGUCCAUAUUCAUUCAUGUGAAACCUGCUGAUCAAUAAAAAAUCAACAAUUCCAGCUGUUGUCUGGCUG